AACUUUUGGCAAUGGAUCACUGAGCGCGGUUCUGACAACGGCCUUCGCAUAGGAGCCCGACGGGUCCUGGUAAUAGUGGAUGGGGCGGGCCGACUGGUCGAAAGCCAGCAAUUGCGAUCCACUGGCGUUGCGAACGGCGGCGAGCGCCUGUUCAAAGGUGAAGUCCUGGCAGUCAAAGGCGCGUCGCGCGAUUGCGACGAAAGUCUCAUGCCAUUCAGGAACCAUUUUCUUUCGAAACCACAUGCGUGCAGUAUCUCCAUAUGGAUGAAAUUACGCGCGCGGAAAUUGACGCCUCCGUCGAGGCCACGCUGCUGGAAUUCGGUGCGAGCUGGUGCGGGUACUGUCAGGCAGCGCAACCUCACAUCGCGUCGACCCUGAAGAACCAUCCGAACGUGCAGCAUAUCAAUAAGCGGAGGCU
rnacentral:misc_RNA from 1 species